rnacentral:rRNA from 1 species
UUAAGUUAUUAAGGGCGCACGGUGGAUGCCUUGGCACUAGAAGCCGAUGAAGGACGUUACUAACGACGAUAUGCUUUGGGGAGCUGUAAGUAAGCUUUGAUCCAGAGAUUUCCGAAUGGGGAAACCCAGCAUGAGUUAUGUCAUGUUAUCGAUAUGUGAAUACAUAGCAUAUCAGAAGGCACACCCGGAGAACUGAAACAUCUUAGUACCCGGAGGAAGAGAAAGAAAAUUCGAUUCCCUUAGUAGCGGCGAGCGAAACGGGAAGAGCCCAAACCAACAAGCUUGCUUGUUGGGGUUGUAGGACACUCUAUACGGAGUUACAAAGGACGACAUUAGACGAAUCAUCUGGAAAGAUGAAUCAAAGAAGGUAAUAAUCCUGUAGUCGAAAAUGUUGUCUCUCUUGAGUGGAUCCUGAGUACGACGGAGCACGUGAAAUUCCGUCGGAAUCUGGGAGGACCAUCUCCUAAGGCUAAAUACUCUCUAGUGACCGAUAGUGAACCAGUACCGUGAGGGAAAGGUGAAAAGCACCCCGGAAGGGGAGUGAAAUAGAACCUGAAACCGUGUGCUUACAAGUAGUCAGAGCCCGUUAAUGGGUGAUGGCGUGCCUUUUGUAGAAUGAACCGGCGAGUUACGAUUUGAUGCAAGGUUAAGCAGUAAAUGUGGAGCCGUAGCGAAAGCGAGUCUGAAUAGGGCGUUUAGUAUUUGGUCGUAGACCCGAAACCAGGUGAUCUACCCUUGGUCAGGUUGAAGUUCAGGUAACACUGAAUGGAGGACCGAACCGACUUACGUUGAAAAGUGAGCGGAUGAACUGAGGGUAGCGGAGAAAUUUCAAUCGAACCUGGAGAUAGCUGGUUCUCUCCGAAAUAGCUUUAGGGCUAGCCUCAAGUGAUGAUUAUUGGAGGUAGAGCACUGUUUGGACGAGGGGCCCCUCUCGGGUUACCGAAUUCAGACAAACUCCGAAUGCCAAUUAAUUUAACUUGGGAGUCAGAACAUGGGUGAUAAGGUCCGUGUUCGAAAGGGAAACAGCCCAGACCACCAGCUAAGGUCCCAAAAUAUAUGUUAAGUGGAAAAGGAUGUGGCGUUGCCCAGACAACUAGGAUGUUGGCUUAGAAGCAGCCAUCAUUUAAAGAGUGCGUAAUAGCUCACUAGUCGAGUGACACUGCGCCGAAAAUGUACCGGGGCUAAACAUAUUACCGAAGCUGUGGAUUGUCCUUUGGACAAUGGUAGGAGAGCGUUCUAAGGGCGUUGAAGCAUGAUCGUAAGGACAUGUGGAGCGCUUAGAAGUGAGAAUGCCGGUGUGAGUAGCGAAAGACGGGUGAGAAUCCCGUCCACCGAUUGACUAAGGUUUCCAGAGGAAGGCUCGUCCGCUCUGGGUUAGUCGGGUCCUAAGCUGAGGCCGACAGGCGUAGGCGAUGGAUAACAGGUUGAUAUUCCUGUACCACCUAUAAUCGUUUUAAUCGAUGGGGGGACGCAGUAGGAUAGGCGAAGCGUGCGAUUGGAUUGCACGUCUAAGCAGUAAGGCUGAGUAUUAGGCAAAUCCGGUACUCGUUAAGGCUGAGCUGUGAUGGGGAGAAGACAUUGUGUCUUCGAGUCGUUGAUUUCACACUGCCGAGAAAAGCCUCUAGAUAGAAAAUAGGUGCCCGUACCGCAAACCGACACAGGUAGUCAAGAUGAGAAUUCUAAGGUGAGCGAGCGAACUCUCGUUAAGGAACUCGGCAAAAUGACCCCGUAACUUCGGGAGAAGGGGUGCUCUUUAGGGUUAACGCCCAGAAGAGCCGCAGUGAAUAGGCCCAAGCGACUGUUUAUCAAAAACACAGGUCUCUGCUAAACCGUAAGGUGAUGUAUAGGGGCUGACGCCUGCCCGGUGCUGGAAGGUUAAGAGGAGUGGUUAGCUUCUGCGAAGCUACGAAUCGAAGCCCCAGUAAACGGCGGCCGUAACUAUAACGGUCCUAAGGUAGCGAAAUUCCUUGUCGGGUAAGUUCCGACCCGCACGAAAGGCGUAACGAUUUGGGCACUGUCUCAACGAGAGACUCGGUGAAAUCAUAGUACCUGUGAAGAUGCAGGUUACCCGCGACAGGACGGAAAGACCCCGUGGAGCUUUACUGUAGCCUGAUAUUGAAAUUCGGCACAGCUUGUACAGGAUAGGUAGGAGCCUUUGAAACGUGAGCGCUAGCUUACGUGGAGGCGCUGGUGGGAUACUACCCUAGCUGUGUUGGCUUUCUAACCCGCACCACUUAUCGUGGUGGGAGACAGUGUCAGGCGGGCAGUUUGACUGGGGCGGUCGCCUCCUAAAAGGUAACGGAGGCGCUCAAAGGUUCCCUCAGAAUGGUUGGAAAUCAUUCAUAGAGUGUAAAGGCAUAAGGGAGCUUGACUGCGAGACCUACAAGUCGAGCAGGGUCGAAAGACGGACUUAGUGAUCCGGUGGUUCCGCAUGGAAGGGCCAUCGCUCAACGGAUAAAAGCUACCCCGGGGAUAACAGGCUUAUCUCCCCCAAGAGUUCACAUCGACGGGGAGGUUUGGCACCUCGAUGUCGGCUCAUCGCAUCCUGGGGCUGUAGUCGGUCCCAAGGGUUGGGCUGUUCGCCCAUUAAAGCGGUACGCGAGCUGGGUUCAGAACGUCGUGAGACAGUUCGGUCCCUAUCCGUCGUGGGCGUAGGAAAUUUGAGAGGAGCUGUCCUUAGUACGAGAGGACCGGGAUGGACAUACCUCUGGUGUACCAGUUGUCGUGCCAACGGCAUAGCUGGGUAGCUAUGUGUGGACGGGAUAAGUGCUGAAAGCAUCUAAGCAUGAAGCCCCCCUCAAGAUGAGAUUUCCCAACUUCGGUUAUAAGAUCCCUCAAAGAUGAUGAGGUUAAUAGGUUCGAGGUGGAAGCAUGGUGACAUGUGGAGCUGACGAAUACUAAUCGAUCGAAGACUUAAUCAA